rnacentral:rRNA from 1 species
GUCNAAAACGACUCUCGGCAACGGAUAUCUCGGCUCUUGCAUCGAUGAAGAACGUAGCGAAAUGCGAUACUUGGUGUGAAUUGCAGAAUCCCGUGAACCAUCGAGUCUUUGAACGCAAGUUGCGCCCGAAGCCAUUAGGCCGAGGGCACGCCUGCCUGGGUGUCACUAA